AGCCCUGACCAUCUUGUUCCUCCUAACACACUAAUGAAGCCAAAUCUCCUCCUUAUUCUGUUUAACUUGUUUGGAAUAAACACUUCAGACAUAGAACCAAACUUGGAGAAUGUAUUCCACAAUGAUUUAGCAUCCCAUCUUGGAGGAAGUUUUCAACAUAAACGGAGAACUCAGCACCAUCUCUCCUCAUCGUUCCCUCUGAUUGACGUUGCGGAUGUGUGAAGUAACUACCUCUGAAACGAUUUACUCCAUUUCCGAAGUUAUUUCUGUAGAAAUUGCCUCCAGAGUUUGUAGGGUUGGGGACGAAUCUACUCAUAUUGAAGGAAUUCACUGGUUUUUAAUGAUUAUAAAAUGAUGCUGAGCAUGGUUAAUUGCGGUUUUACCAAGCUUGA
rnacentral:misc_RNA from 1 species